UCGAGGGGCACAGGGGUAGCAAUACCUGCUGGCGACCGGCAAACGGGUGCGGAACACGUACAGAACCUUCCUUUAAGCGGGGGAUAGCCCAUAGAAAUGUGGAUUAAUACCCCAUAGUAUAAUCAGGAGGCAUCUUUUGAUUAUUAAAGAUUUAUCACUUAGAGAUGGCUGUGCGGCUGAUUAGGUAGUUGGUGUAGGUAACGGCUCACCGAGCCUUCGAUCAGUAACUGGUGUGAGAGCACGACCAGUCACACGGGCACUGAGACACGGGCCCGACUCCUACGGGAGGCAGCAGUAAGGAAUAUUGGUCAAUGGACGCAAGUCUGAACCAGCCAUGCCGCGUGAAGGAUGAAGGUCCUCUGGAUUGUAAACUUCUUUUAUCUGGGACGAAACCCUCGAAUUCUUUCGGGAUUGACGGUACCAGAGGAAUAAGCACCGGCUAACUCCGUGCCAGCAGCCGCGGUAAUACGGAGGGUGCAAGCGUUAUCCGGAUUCACUGGGUUUAAAGGGUGCGUAGGUGGGUCUGUAAGUCAGUGGUGAAAUCUCCGUGCUUAACAUGGAAACUGCCAUUGAUACUAUAGGUCUUGAAUUUUCUGGAGGUCAGCGGAUAUGUCAUGUAGCGGUGAAUGCUUAGAUUAUGACAUAGACACCAAUUGCGAAGGCAGCUGGCUACAGGGAUAUUGACACUGAGCACG
rnacentral:rRNA from 1 species